GCCCGCCGCGCGCCGCGGGCGGGGCGGGGGCACGGGGGGCCUACGGGAGGCAGCAGUGAGGAAUCUUCCACAAUGGGCGAAAGCCUGAUGGAGCAACGCCGCGUGCAGGAUGAAGGCCUUCGGGUCGUAAACUGCUUUUAUUAGUGAGGAAUAUGACGGUAACUAAUAAUAAGUCCUUC
rnacentral:rRNA from 1 species